GAUGAACGCUGGCGGCGUGCCUAAUACGUGCAAGUCGAGCGAACGGACGAGAAGCUUGCUUCUCUGAUGUUAGCGGCGGACGGGUGAGUAACACGUGGAUAACCUCCCUAUAUUACUGGGAUAACUUCGGGAAACCGUAGCUAAUACCGUAUAAUAUUUUGAACCGCAUGGUUCAAAGGUAAAAUACGGUCUUGCUGUCACUUAUAGAUGGUUCCGCGCUGCAUUAGCUGGUUGGUAAGGUAACGGCUUACCAAGGUAACGAGUCAUAGCCGACCUGAGAGGGGGAUAGGCCACACUGGAAGUGAGACACGGUCCAGACUCCUAAGGGAGGCAGCAGUAGGGAAUGUUACGCAAUGGGCGAAAGCAUGACGGAGCAACGCCGCGUGAGUGAUGAAGGUCUUCGGAGCGUAAAACUCUGUUAUUAGGGAAGAACAGAUGUGUAAGUAACUGUGCACAUCUUGACGGUACCGAAUCAGAAAGCCACGGCUAACUACGUG
rnacentral:rRNA from 1 species